rnacentral:rRNA from 1 species
GAUGAACGCUGGCGGCGUGCCUAAUACAUGCAAGUCGAGCGAACGGACGAGAAGCUUGCUUCUCUGAUGUUAGCGGCGGACGGGUGAGUAACACGUGGAUAACCUACCUAUAAGACUGGGAUAACUUCGGGAAACCGGAGCUAAUACCGGAUAAUAUUUUGAACCUCAUGGUUCAAAAGUGAAAGACGGUCUUGCUGUCACUUAUAGAUGGAUCCGCGCUGCAUUAGCUAGUUGGUAAGGUAACGGCUUACCAAGGCAACGAUGCAUAGCCGACCUGAGAGGGUGAUCGGCCAGACUGGAACUGAGACACGGUCCAGACUCCUACGGGAGGCAGCAGUAGGGAAUCCUCCGCAAUGGGGGAAAGCCUGACGGAGCAACGCCGCGUGAGUGAUGAAGGUCUUCGGAUCGUAAAACUCUGUUAUUAGGGAAGAACAUAUGUGUAAGUAACUGUGCACAUCUUGACGGUACCUAAUCAGAAAGCCACGGCUAACUACGUG